GUUCUAUUAGAUUAAUUGUUUCUCUCCUUAAUUAUAUUUCAAUAUUAAUUUCAUGUAAAUAUUUACAUCACAUCACAUCAUUUAAGGGAUAUGUCCCCAAAUGUGUAGAUUCUCAUUUAGACAGUACAGAUAUAUUUUUUUGUCUUGAUUUUUUUUGUUUUGAUGUUUUCAUUUUGGUGUUCGAUAUAUAUAAUUAUUUUUUGUUAAUUUAUUGGCUUUUAUUUCUUUUACCUCCUUUAUUUUUCUUUGAACUAUGUUAAUUAUGAAAAAAAUCAAGGUCUAAAUAAGAUAGAAGUAGAAUUUUCUGCAUAGAAUAUCGUCCAAUUUCAGAGUUGGGAGCUAUAUGUUUCGAAUGGUUCAAUUGAAUCCUCUUUGCCUCAAAUUUACUUGUACAAAUUAUAGGAUAAAAAUGAUUUUAUCAUAUUAUAUAUCAAAAAUUAAUUUUUUAAAUUUGCUUUACAUUUUUUAGUGUGUAUAGCAAAAGUGACUCAAAAUUUUGUUUUAUUGUUGUGAAUUUGAAUCUCAGGUGUGACAUUCUUGCAUUCUUUUCAUGAAUUUGUUUGCUGAGUAAGAGUUUUAUCCCAAUCUUUCAGAAGAUGAAUUAAUCGUAUGCAUAAAUUGAUGAUACACUUCAUCACACAUACUCGAAAUUUGAAGUUGGUCAACAUGCCAUCAAAUUUGAUUUUGUUAAUGUAGCUUCUCCCCAACAUACAGUUGUUGCUUGCUAGUGCAGCAUCAUUAAGAUUCACAUACAAAAUAUGGAGCAGAAAAUGAAAUCUGCCCAAUUUUUGAAUACAUGAGAAUCUUGAUGAUGCUGCAUUGGUAAUUGAUGACUUAAUUCUUCGAUUCUACAACAAAAUUUGGGCAAAUUAUCAUUUAUUUGGUCUUUGAUGAAGAGUUGCUUGCAAAAGGAAGGAGUCAAGAAGAAGAUUCUUUUAUAUAUAUAUAUAUAUAUAUAUAUAUAUAUGUUGUUGUUUAAAUCGAGCCUCCGUUGAUUAUUAAUAUGUUGAAAGUGAAAAAUUUGUGUUUGACAAUUCAAACUUUAUACAUGAUUGAGACGAGACUGGUGAUAUUUGUCCUAUCCAAAUUUAUUUAUCACAUUAAUGAUCAAUGAAUAAUUACUCGUA